rnacentral:lncRNA from 1 species
AGGGGUUAUUUGUCUAUUUCUUUCUGUUUCCAGAUAUGAAUUUGUGAUUGGUUUAUUUUUUGUGAGAUUAUUUUUAUGAUAUUGCUUGAUGCUGUUUCCUUUGAAUACCUAAUUUUUUGUUGUCUUUUUUGCUCUCUCUCUCUCUCUCUCUCACACACACACACACACAGAGUUUUUGAUCAUUGUUCUGAUUAUAUGAUAUUUUUAUGUCGUCCCUAACUCUAGGAUGCAUAGGCAGCCAAAGCAUGUCAUGACUUUCUUGCUGGCUGAGAUGGGACCAAGUGGAUCACUUGAUGGACAACAAAGAUUAGUUGUGAACGAAAGAUUUAUGCCGAAAACUUUUUAGGGGAUCCUGAGGAGAUAUGUCAGUAAGUUCCAUCUGCGUGAUUACUUGAUAUUAGAAAAAAUAGGGAUGAUAAUUACCAAAUUUGGUUGUUAAUUAUGAGAAGUGAGCUCAUUUCUCACUAGCUUGGCUUCUAACUGAAGUAGGCUAAAAAUUAAUUUGGAUUCUGGUGUCCCCUGAAUAUUACAAACUUCCAUCUUAGAACAUUUAAUUUAUUUAUUUUUUUGCAUGGAAUUAGAAAGACUAAUUGUGAUUUUUUUGUGUCUGAUAUUUUCAGUGGUCACCUUUUGAUUCUUACCACCAUCGAGAUUGCUGUUGCUGCAACCCAUUUUUUUUUGUAAGACAGGGAGAUUUAGCAUGGAAUGCUUUUUAAGAUCUUACAAUUUUUGCGCAUAUCUUGCGUUUGGUUAAAGUAUUGCUAUUGAUCAUCAUGGAGAGAGGAAUCCUUCAAGGGCUGGAUCAAAGCAAUUUAGAGAUGGGAAAAUGAAGAACAUACAGAUAUAGUAAUUGUGGAACAACUGGUUCAGUUGUUGCUGAAAGAGAAGCAAGAACCUUGCCUGUUUUCUGGUUUCUAGAGUCUUGCACACUUUCUUUCUAAUAUAGUGAGGCUGAACCUUGCCUGUUUUCUGGUUUCUAGAGUCUUGCACACUUUCUUUCUAAUUUAAUCCUUUCAUGUAGUUCGUAAUUCACUUUUUUUAUGAUGAUCAUGGACCAUUUUAUUUGUUGGCUUUAUUUUUUGGUUAGAAUUAUAUUUGUUGAAUCAUAUUUGGAGACCCUUCCCCUGUGGCCUAAAAGUCUAUGUAUCUGGCAUGAUUGUAAAUUUUGGCAUUAGUUUGCCCUUGAUCUAUCUGUUUUCU